rnacentral:rRNA from 1 species
AUUGAACGCUGGCGGCAGGCCUAACACAUGCAAGUCGAGCGGAUGAGUGGAGCUUGCUCCAUGAUUCAGCGGCGGACGGGUGAGUAAUGCCUAGGAAUCUGCCUGGUAGUGGGGGACAACGUUUCGAAAGGAACGCUAAUACCGCAUACGUCCUACGGGAGAAAGCAGGGGACCUUCGGGCCUUGCGCUAUCAGAUGAGCCUAGGUCGGAUUAGCUAGUUGGUGGGGUAAUGGCUCACCAAGGCGACGAUCCGUAACUGGUCUGAGAGGAUGAUCAGUCACACUGGAACUGAGACACGGUCCAGACUCCUACGGGAGGCAGCAGUGGGGAAUAUUGGACAAUGGGCGAAAGCCUGAUCCAGCCAUGCCGCGUGUGUGAAGAAGGUCUUCGGAUUGUAAAGCACUUUAAGUUGGGAGGAAGGGCAGUAAGUUAAUACCUUGCUGUUUUGACGUUACUGACAGAAUAAGCACCGGCUAACUCUGUGCCAGCCGCCGCCGUAAAAC